rnacentral:rRNA from 1 species
CCUACGGGUGGCAGCAGUGGGGAAUAUUGCACAAUGGGGGAAACCCUGAUGCAGCGACGCCGCGUGAGUGAAGAAGUAUUUCGUUACGUAAAGCUCUAUCAGCAGGGAAGAAAAUGACGGUACCUGACUAAGAAGCCCCGGCUAACUACGUGCCAGCAGCCGCGGUAAUACGUAGGGGGCAAGCGUUAUCCGGAUUUACUGGGUGUAAAGGGUGCGUAGGCGGCAGGCCAAGUCUGGAGUGAAAGCCCGGGGCUUAACUCCGGUACUGCUUUUGAAACUGGCCAGCUGGAGUGCGGGAGGGGUAAGCGGAAUUCCUAGUGUAGCGGUGAAAUGCGUAGAUAUUAGGAGGAACACCAGUGGCGAAGGCGGCUUACUGGACUGUAACUGACGCUGAGGCACGAAAGCGUGGGGAGCAAACAGGAUUAGAUACCCGAGUAGUC